GUGAAAAGCAUCUGUUUUAUUUAAAUAAAUAGCGGAAAAAUGUUUUUUCAACCGUAUGUAGUGAGUUUUUCGUGAGCUGUAAUUUUCUCACGUAUGUCGUGAGCAUAAUCUCAUUUAUGUUCACACAUGGAAAAUUUGUAUUUAAUCGCGGUCGCGAACCAGUGGACUCGGGCGUGACACGACUCACUCGCACAUCUCUAGUGAGUACUACUGUGUACAUCUCUGUCCUCGUAAAACAUACACUUCCACACUUGCUGUAGGUAUUUAACAAUUAUUUAAAUAGUCAAUUUUUCAAGUUUUCGAACUUUUUUGAAGAUGGUUUUUAGGUUUUUCGACUUUGGGAUCGGGAAAAUGUGAGGCGCAAACACACAAUAUAAUAUAAUAAUACAAUAUAUAAUAUAAUAAUACAAUAUAUAAUAUAAUAAUAUGAUAUAUAACGCAUCCCGAUGUAACAAGCAAACAAGUUGUGCCAUAAGGGGUUAAAAAAGACCGUCGUUUAACGAAAUUUGGAACCAUAUGACAGAGCCAAUCCGUCAGCCAAUGCAAUUGAUCCAAUACAAAGGGCAUACUUUCGAUGAUGGCAGCUUGUUCAGGCAUAAAUUCUGUGACGGCUUGCGAAGACAUUGCCUAUUGCGCUGGAUGUAAAAGAUAUGAGGAGCAAAUUGUGGUAUUAAGCAGUUCUGGAUGCGGAAUUAAGAGGAAAGGCAUUUAUCAUAAUCAUGCCUACAAUCAUUUUCAAUUUUAAUCGAAUAUAAGUAUAAUUCAAUAGAUGUCCUUACACAGCGAUCCAUUACUAUGAAAGAUGAACAAUAUUUUUGGGAGCUGCUGCUGUUGCCAAGAGCAUUUUCUCUUAGGUUACGUUUGGGAGUUCUAAAUGGAAUAAAAGUCGCUAAGAUUCGGAGGGGAAAGAAAUAAUACAGCAAUCGCAGCAACGGAAACCUUAACCCAACCUAAGUUCUUUAUUUCCAAUAUGUUUUUGGUCAUAUGUGGAGUCAUCUCCAAGCAAUCCAAUCUAUGUAUCACAUUCAGAUGCUACAGACUAAAAAAGUACUAUUGUAAUUAUUUAAUGUAUGUAUAAAAUAUAAUAAUAAAAACGGUUUGUAUACUUUUAUAAUUUUUGUUAAA